rnacentral:rRNA from 1 species
GACGAACGCUGGCGGCGUGCUUAACACAUGCAAGUCGAACGGAAAGGCCCUGCUUUUGUGGGGGGCUCGAGUGGCGAACGGGUGAGUAACACGUGAGUAACCUGCCCUUGACUUUGUGAUAACUUCAGGAAACUGUGGCUAAUACCUGAUAGGAGCUCCUGCUGCAUGGUGGGGGUUGGAAAGUUUCGGCUGUUGGGGAUGGACUCGCGGCUUAUCAGCUUGUUGGUGGGGUAGUGGCUUACCAAGGCUUUGACGGGUAGCCGGCCUGAGAGGGUGACCGGCGACAUUGGGACUGAGAUACGGCCCAGACUGCUACGGGAGGCAGCAGUGGGGAAUAUUGCACAAUGGGCGGAAGCCUGAUGAAGCAACGCCGCGUGCGGGAUGACGGCCUUCGGGUUGUAAACCGCUUUCGCCUGUGACGAAGCGUGAGUGACGGUAAUGGGUAAAGAAGCACCGGCUAACUACGUG